rnacentral:misc_RNA from 1 species
UCAUUACCGAAUUGUCAAACGGGUUGUUGCUGGUCCUCAAACGGGGACAUGUGCACGCUCUGUUUACACAUCCACUCACACCUGUGCACCCUCCGUAGUUCUAUGGUCUGGGGGACCCCGUCUUCCUGCCGUGGUUCUGCGUCUUUACACACACGCUGUAACAAAGUCUUAUGGAAUGUAUGCCGCGUCUAACGCAAUACAAUACAACUUUCAGCAACGGAUCUCUUGGCUCUCGCAUCGAUGAAGAACGCAGCGAAAUGCGAUAAGUAAUGUGAAUUGCAGAAUUCAGUGAAUCAUCGAAUCUUUGAACGCACCUUGCGCCCCUUGGCUAUUCCGAGGGGCAUGCCUGUUUGAGUAUCAUGAACACCUCAACUCUCAUGGUUUGCCAUGAUGAGCUUGGACUCUGGGGGUUUUGCUGGCCUGUGGUCGGCUCCCCUCAAAUGAAUCAGCCUCCCAGUGUUUGGUGGCAUCACGGGUGUGAUAAAUAUCUACGCUCAUGGUCGUCUGCCAGGUAACCUUUGGUGACAAAGGUUUGCUGGAGCUCAUAGAUGUCUCUUCUCAGUGAGGACAGCUUUUUGAACGUUCGAUCUC